CGAUGUCGGCUCAUCGCAUCCUGGGGCUGUAGUCGGUCCCAAGGGUUGGGCUGUUCGCCCAUUAAAGCGGUACGCGAGCUGGGUUCAGAACGUCGUGAGACAGUUCGGUCCCUAUCCGUCGCGGGCGCAGGAAAUUUGAGAGGAGCUGUCCUUAGUACGAGAGGACCGGGAUGGACAUACCGCUGGUGUACCAGUUGUUCCGCCAGGAGCAUUGCUGGGUAGCUAUGUAUGGAUGAGAUAAACGCUGAAAGCAUCUAAGUGUGAAACUCGCCUCGAGAUGAGAUUUCCCAUCUAUUUAAUAGAGUAAGACCCCUUAGAGAUGAUGAGGUAGAUAGGCUAGAAGUGGAAGUUGAGUGAUCAAUGGAGCGGACUAGUACUAAUAGGUCGAGGACUUAACCAA
rnacentral:rRNA from 1 species